GAUGAACGCUGGCGGCGUGCUUAACACAUGCCAGUCGAACGGAAAGGCUCCUGCUUGCAGGGGUACUCGAGUGGCGAACGGGUGAGUAACACGUGGGUGAUCUGCCCUGCACUUCGGGAUAAGCCUGGGAAACUGGGUCUAAUACCGGAUAGGACGAUGGUUUGGAUGCCAUUGUGGAAAGUUUUUCGGUGUGGGAUGAGCUCGCGGCCUAUCAGCUUGUUGGUGGGGUAAUGGCCUACCAAGGCGUCGACGGGUAGCCGGCCUGAGAGGGUGUACGGCCACAUUGGGACUGAGAUACGGCCCAGACGCCUACGGGAGGCAGCAGUGGGGAAUAUUGCACAAUGGGCGCAAGCCUGAUGCAGCGACGCCGCGUGGGGGAUGACGGCCUUCGGGUUGUAAACUCCUUUCGCUAGGGACGAAGCGCAAGUGACGGUACCUGGAGAAGAAGCACCGGCUAACUACGUG
rnacentral:rRNA from 1 species